GUCAUGGCUGCCUAAAAUGCAUCCAAACAUUCAGUAUCUCCUCCCUCUGCAUGCAGACACUGAACUUUCCUCAUAGAGAUUCAUUGAUUCAAUUAAUCUCUAUGAGGAGAUGCUGAUUGGCCAGGGUUGUGUUGCAAUUGUGCUGGCUCUGCCCCUGAUCUGCCUCUUUGUCAGUCUCAGCCAAUCCUAUGGGGAAGCACUGUGAUUGGAUCAGGCUACCACCUCUGAUGAUGUCAGCAGACUACUUGUUUUUUUUUAGGCAAACAGCAUGCAGAGCUACAGCUUCAGGCUUGAAUACAGUAAGAUUUUGCUAUAU
rnacentral:lncRNA from 1 species